GUCGCCAGUGGUACGAGCGGAACAGGCCCCUCCCUCUGGAGGCGGGCGGUGAACUGCCGGGCGUACGGCUCGCGUUCGAGACCUGGGGGCGGCU
rnacentral:tRNA from 1 species